rnacentral:lncRNA from 1 species
GGGGUUCUAAGAUCUUAGUGUAGGAAAGCAAUAUUUGGUGUACACACAAUAGGGCUUUUCUAUAAUGUGGGGAUUAGGAAUAUCAAAAAGGGCCCAUGGAGGAUGCACAAUGGGUAAAGAAGGUAUGAUUAGGCUUAGAAUAUUUCCUAGUAUUUUUGUAGAAUUUUUGGGAAUUUUUGGAGGGGUGUAAGGGCUCUAAGUGAGUUUUGGUGUACAUUAUCUGGGUGCACGUAGCAUUUUUUUGGCCGACUGACUCAGGCAGGUGGGGCGGGGCUGGUACUGUGCAUGGUGGACUGGCC